GGGGUAGAUGGUGUGGUAGGUUUUGGUGUUGUUGAAGUAGAUUUUGUGGUAGCUGUCGAUAUAGGGGAAGAUGGUGUAGUAGAUUUUGGUGUUGUUGUAAUAGACUUUGUGGUAGCUGUCAAUGUAGGGGUAGAUGACGUGGUAGGUUUUGGUGUUGUUGUUGUAGUAGACUUUAUUGUAAUUGUUGAUGUUGGGAUAGAUGGUGUGGUAGCUGUCUGUGUUGUAAUAGACUUUGUGGUCUGUGCAGUGGAAGAUGGUAUGGUUGUUGAAGUAGUCUUUGUAGUAAUUGUUGGUGUAGGGCUAGAUUGUGUGGUAAGUUUUGGUGUUGUAGUAGAUUUUGUUGUAGUUGUCGGUGUAGGGAAAGUUGGUGUGGUAUAUUUUGGUGUUGGGGGUGUUGUAGUAGACUUCGUGGAAGCUGUUGGUGUGGGGGUAGAUGGUGUGGUAGGUUUUGGUGUUGUUGUAGUAGACUUCGUGGAAGCUGUUGAUGUGGGGGUAGAUGGUGUGGUAGGUUUGGGUGAUGUUGUGGUAGCUGUUGGUGUAGGGGAAGAUGGUGUAGUAGGUUUGGGUGUUCCUGUAGUAGACUUUGUGCUAGGUGUCGUUGCAGGGGUAGAUGGUGUGGUAGGUUUUGGUGUAGUUGUAGUAGACUUUGUUGUAGUUGUCGGUGUAGGAGAAGAUGGUGUGGUAGGUUUUGGUGUUGUUGUCGGUGUAGGAGAAGAUGGUGUGGUAGGUUUUGGUGUUGUUGUAGUAGACUUAGUGGAAGCUGUUGAUGUGGGGGUAGAUGGUGUGGUAGGUUUGGGUGAUGUUGUGGUAGCUGUUGGUGUAGGGGAAGAUGGCGUGGUAUGUUUUGGUGUUGUAGUAGUAGAC